CGUGAUUUAAUGGAAGCAGAAAAUGAGUCUCAUUUCACGUCCUAUUGUCCUUUAUGGGACGAGCUGAUAGAGAAGCCUCGCAGCGUAAUUGUCUCCAUUUCUGCUAAUUUCUCUCGAAUGGAUGAAUGAUGAAACACUUCAGAAAAAUGUGCCGAUUUCGGAAUGUCUGGGAAACGACAGCCACUUUGAAAAUAUGGUGUACAUUUCCUCAUCAUGAAGAGGGAAUCCCAACUCAACUCGACAGGAAUUAAGCUCUGACCCGUUCCAGAGACCAGCAUGGGAGAAGACGAUUUAAGGGGAAACGUGAGCCAACAUUUUUGAUGCAGGAAAAACCCCAAAAGAGAUAAGAAGUACGAUCUGUUUCUUUCCUCUUGUUUUCUGCUGCUGGUCAAACUCUAUUUCUCUGGACUUGAAUGUGUAAAACUGUCUCUGCUAUCAGCGUCUUAUCACGAGGCAGAGCUGAGUUUGUCUGCAUGGAGCGGUGUGUGUGUGUGUGGGGGGGCGUCCUUCAUAACCACUGUGAAACAUUAACUUUGAUCAUUUUAUGUGUUUACAGACCAUUUAACCCCUUGACAUCCAGC
ensembl:lncRNA